rnacentral:rRNA from 1 species
UACGUAGGGUGCAAGCGUUGUCCGGAAUUAUUGGGCGUAAAGAGCUCGUAGGCGGUUUGUUGCGUCGGCUGUGAAAUCCCGAGGCUCAACCUCGGGUCUGCAGUCGAUACGAGCAAACUAGAGUGUUGCAGGGGAGACUGGAAUUCCUGGUGUAGCGGUGAAAUGCGCAGACUAUCAGGAGGAACACCGGUGGCGAAGGCGGGUCUCUGGGCAUUAACUGACGCUGGAGGAGCGAAAGCCAUGGGGAGCGAAACAGG